rnacentral:rRNA from 1 species
UACGUAGGGGGCAAGCGUUGUCCGGAAUCAUUGGGCGUAAAGCGCGUGUAGGCGGCUCGGUAAGUCCGCUCUGAAAGUCCGGGGCUCAACCCCGGGAGGCGGGUGGAUACUGUCGAGCUCGAGUCCGGAAGAGGCGAGUGGAACUCCUGGUGUAGCGGUGGAAUGCGCAGAUAUCAGGAAGAACACCAACGGCGAAGGCAGCUCGCUGGGACGGUACUGACGCUGAGACGCGAAAGCGUGGGGAGCGAACAGG